rnacentral:rRNA from 1 species
GACGAAUGCUGGCUGCGUGCUUAACACAUGCAAGUCGAACGGUGGAGGGGAGCUUGCUCCCCGGAUCAGUGGCGAACGGGUGAGUAACACGUGGGCAACCUGCCCCCCACUCUGGGAUAACUCCGGGAAACCGGGGCUAAUACCGGAUACGACCGGGCGCGACAUCGCUCCUGGUGGAAAGUACUUCGGUGAGGGAUGGGCCCGCGGCCUAUCAGCGAGUUGGUGGGGUAACGGCCCACCAAGGCGACGACGGGUAGCCGGCCUGAGAGGGCGACCGGCCACACUGGGGCUGAGACACGGCCCAGACUACUACGGGAGGCAGCAGUGGGGAAUAUUGCGCAAUGGGCGAAAGCCUGACGCAGCGACGCAGCGUGAGGGACGAAGGCCUUCGGGUUGUAAACCUCUUUCAGCGGGGACGAAGCGAAAGUGACGGUACCCGCAGAAGAAGCACCGGCUAACUACGUGCCAGCAGCCGCCGUAA